rnacentral:rRNA from 1 species
UACGUAGGGUGCAAGCGUUAAUCGGAAUUACUGGCGUAAAGCGUGCGCAGGCGGCUUUGCAAGACAGAUGUGAAAUCCCCGGGCUCAACCUGGGAACUGCAUUUGUGACUGCAUGGCUAGAGUACGGUAGAGGGGGAUGGAAUUCCGCGUGUAGCAGUGAAAUGCGUAGAUAUGCGGAGGAACACCGAUGGCGAAGGCAAUCCCCUGGACCUGUAC